GGCUAAAUCCCAGCCGUUCAUUGAGGAGGUGGAAGUGGCUAUAAAUACCACCCCUCACCUCACUUGUAAAUCAACCAAGCUUAGCCAAGCAAUUCAAGUAAUACAAAGCAUUUGAGUGUUCUUACAAGCUCUCUUGUGUUCUCUUCUCUAUUUAGCUCUCAUUUUCGCUCCAAUACAACUUAAAGGCUUACUUAGCUCGUCCUAGCAACCAAAGGCGACUAAGUGCCGCGCGGAUAGGCUUAGUGAAAUCCUAUCUCUGUGACAGGUGGUAUCAAAGCAGGUUCCGUCCUAGGUGCAAAGUCCCUUGCCUUGAUCAAUGGCAAACGAUGAAGCUUAAUUGGUUGUUGCUGAGGAACAACAACCCAAGCAGCCAGAGGCAGUUCGAGGCCGUGAGCCGGUGCGCACUCGACCUAAGAGGGGGAAGUCUAAGGUACGAACCUCUCCCAUAGAUCAUGUGGAGCAAAGGAUCGCAGCUCUUGAGCAAGCCGUGUCUUCUCAAGAAGCUAUAGUGGGAGAACUCUCCGAGCAACUUGAUAAUGUUGUCCAGGAGAACGAGGAGAUCACUAGAGCUGCCAAGGAUAUGAUCAUGGAGCUUGGUAGAUCCCUACGAGAGGAGCUUCAAGCCCUUGCUGGUAGGAUAACCGAGGUACGUACAUUCACUGAGUUUGAACUUAGUGCCUUGCGUAGCGAAGUAGAUGCUAUCCGUUCCGAAUGCCGGAUGCACCAACGAAUGAGUUGUCCCGCUUCAACCAGUGCUACCACAACUCAUGUAGCACAUGGAUUGAAAGUACCAAAGCCUGCGACGUAUGAUGGAACGCGCAGUGCCUCGAUGGUGGAAAACUUUCUCUUUGGCCUUGACCAGUACUUUGAGGCCAUUGGGGUAAAUGAUGAUGCCACUAAGAUUGGCAAUGUCCCCACAUUCCUUCGGGACGCUGCUCAGUUAUGGUGGCGAAGGAAGCAUGCGGAGCGCGAAAAAGGCACUUGCAACAUCCAUACCUGGGAGCAAUUCAAAAUGGAAUUACGGAAGCACUUCGUGCCUCAUAAUACGGACACCGAAGCAAGGGGUAAACUGCGUCGUCUACAACAAAGAGGUAGCCUUUCCGAUUACAUUAAGGAGUUCACCACUCUUAUGUUGGAGCUUGACGACUUGUCCGACAAAGAUGCUCUCUUCUUCUUAAAAGAUGGGCUAAGAGAGUGGGCGAAGGUGGAGCUAGAGCGGCGUAGCGUGCAAACACUUGAUGAUGCUAUUGCCAUGGCUGAAUCCCUAAGGGACUACUCCACCCAAGUCGAGAACAAUAAGCCCAUUCCUAGCAAGAGUGGGGGAGAGAGAGAAGAUCAGGAGAAGGACCAUCAUCACAGGGAAGAUGGUCCACCCAAAGCUCUCGAGGGAAGACAUGAUAAGCAGUUUAGGAAGCAUAGUUUUAAACCUAAACCUUGCUUCCUCUGUGGAGGGCCGCAUUGGACAAAAGAUUGCCCCAAUAAGGAGGAAAUAAAUACGAUGCGUGCUGUCUAUAAAAAGGUAAUGAAUGCCAUGGUCGCUGAGUGCAAUAAGGAGAAACAGGCGACAGAGGAACACCAAGCCCAUAUGGGUUCCCUACGAUAUUUGGGCGCCAUAUCUCUUCGCACUCCCAAGGAGGAGGAAGUGAUAAAUCAUGAGCAACCCUCACCAAAAUCUGCCCAAACAGUGCAGGAUGAGUCCAAAGACAAAACGCCUCCACAGUCACCAAAAACGCUUCCUUCUAAAAAGGAAGUCGAUCACCAAAAUGAGCUGGAGCCAAGUGCUAAGCUGCCAGCCAAGACCUCUCCUCAUAAGUCACCUCCAAAGAUGGGAGAACAGAGAAAGGCCAAGAUUGUCGCGGACGCAUCAAGUCACAAGGCAAAGCUAGCCAACACCAGUGCUAGCACCUCACAAAACAACCCACGGGAUCACAUCCGUAAACCUCACAAGUGUGUGAGGAAAUGGCAUAAGGAAGCUGACGAGAUUCUUGCUUGUCUUGACAAGGCUGCCCGGUUUAUAAAGAAAUGGGCCAAGAGGCGACCGAAGACGUACGCCAAAGGAGACAAGGUACUCGUCAAGCUCCGCCCUAACCAGCUCAAGUCCUUACAAAAGGUACAUGAAGGGCUUGUGAAGAAGUAUGAAGGACCAUUCCCUGUCAUCGAACGAGUAGGGAAGGCCGCAUAUCAAGUCCAACUGCCUCUCGAGUGGAAGAUUCAUAAUAUCUUCCAUGUAAGCAUGCUAAAACCUUAUCAUGUGGAUGGUAAGGAUCCAAGUAAGGGCGAGUCUACUCGACCACCAACUGCUGUUACCAAAUCUGGCAAGGAGGUUGAGAGCAUCCUCAACUCACGAGUGGUACGGCGAUGCGAAAAGAACUUGCCCAAGUCUGAAGCUAGGGAGCAUGAAGAUACUCUUCGGCAGUUCAAGGAUAAGAUAAGACAACGCGAGGCUCAUAUCGCGACGAGGACGUCGCGAGAUUGAGUGGGGGAGGGUGUUACGCCCCACACUGUAAGCUGCGCAAGAAUGCAAGGCAGCCUAGCAAUUUAUAGGCAAGGCAUUAGAAGGGUGCCAAUUGGGCUGCCUAAAUGUGCCAAGGCUUGGGAAGUCUCUAGCCCAAUGCUAGAUUAUCCAAGCCCGUUUUCUAGAAUUCUCUACACUACUCCACACUAGGAGAUAUUUUGUGUAUUGUCUACAUUAGUCUAGAAUCAUCCAUAUAAUCUAGACCGUUGAUUUGUGUAGGCUAAAUCCUAGCCGUUCAUUGAGGAGGUGGAGGUGGCUAUAAAUACCACCCCUCACCUCACUUGUAAAUCAACCAAGCUUAGCCAAGCAAUUCAAGUAAUACAAAUCAUUUGAGUGUUCUUACAAGCUCUCUUGUGUUCUCUUCUCUAUUUAGCUCUCAUUUUCGCUCCAAUACAACUUAAAGGCUUACUUAGCUCGUCCUAGCAACCAAAGGCGACUAAGUGCCGCGCGGAUAGGC
rnacentral:lncRNA from 1 species